rnacentral:rRNA from 1 species
UAAGACGAACCGUGCGAACGUUGUUCGGAAUCACUGGGCUUAAAGGGCGCGUAGGCGGCGCAUCAAGUCCGGGGUGAAAGCCCCCAGCUCAACUGGGGAAGUGCCUCGGAUACUGGUGCGCUCGAGGGAGGUAGGGGCGGAUGGAACUUCCGGUGGAGCGGUGAAAUGCGUUGAUAUCGGAAGGAACGCCGGUGGCGAAAGCGAUCCGCUGGCCCUCUUCUGACGCUGAGGCGCGAAAGCCAGGGGAGCAAACGGGAUUAGAUACCCCGGUAGUCCUGGCCCUAAACGAUGGGUACUAGCUUGUGGGCUUGACAUGGGCUCACAGGCGAAGCAAAAGUGUUAAGUACCCCGCCUGGGGAGUAUGGUCGCAAGGCUG